AGAAGACCUCCCGUAAAUAAAGCCUGAAAGGGCGAUCGCAGGUUGUAAAAAAGCGGAGUGACGUAUGGACACGUCACCCCGC
rfam:Pseudomonas chlororaphis subsp. aureofaciens 30-84 chromosome, whole genome shotgun sequence.